rnacentral:rRNA from 1 species
CCUACGGGCGACAGCAGUGAGGAAUAUUGGUCAAUGGCCGUGAGACUGAACCAGCCAAGUCGCGUGAGGGAGGAAGGUUCAGUGUUUCGUAAACUUCUUUUCUCGGGGAAUAAAGACUUGCACGCGUCGCUGUUUGCGUGUACCUUAUGAAUAAGCAUCGGCUAACUCCGUGCCAGCAGCCGCGGUAAUACGGAGGAUGCGAGCGUUAUCCGGAUUUAUUGGGUUUAAAGGGUGCGCAGGGUGUUUUUUAAGUCAGCGGUGAAAGGCUGUGGCUCAACCCUAGGCUUGCCGGUGAAACUGGCAGACUCGAGUGUGUUAGAGGUAGGCGGAAUGCGUGGUGUAGCGGUGAAAUGCAUAGAUAUCACGCAGAACUCCGAUUGCGAAGGCAGCAUACCAAGUCCACACUGACACUGAAGCACGAAAGCGUGGGGAUCAAACAGGAUUAGAUACCCGUGUAGUC